rnacentral:lncRNA from 1 species
AAUGUGGAAAUUUGGAAGAUGAGAAUUUUGGCUCAUGGAAUCCAGAAGUGGAUGAACAGGUUUGCGAACUGGAGGAUGGCUUAGAAAGGAACUGGCAAGGCUCACUGUGGCCUUGAGACCUGGUGGAAUGAGUCAGGGUCAUUGUCCUGCUGGGCUGAACCCCUGUCUCUCCCACCUCCUCCUGCCUUGCUAGGUAGCCUGCACUCACCCAGUCCUUUGUGGCAGGCUGGGCUCAGAAGGUCUCAGAGGAAGCUCAGCAGGUGGCUGGGAGAGAGCAGAGGCUGCCCUUAGGGACACUAGGUUAUUAGAGAGGCGAAAUCU